GCAGCCAAGGAAUUAGUCGCUGAAUGCAAGACAGGAAGAUCUGUUGGUGUUUUCCUUGAUGGCUGCUUCUGCUGAUUACCUUCAGGGAGGCAAAUGCUGGAAAGAGCAUAUGCCAGAAAGGAAAAAAAUAGCAGCUAGAGUAUUCAUGCAAUUUGCUCUUGCAAAGACUCCAGAGGAUGAGACCACAUUGGGUUUUUUUUGACUAAGUUAACAGCUCUGGAGUACAGGAAAAAAUGAAGAAUAAGAGAGAAGCCAUGGUGUUUAAAUGACAUGUACGGUUCCUGGAGAAUCUAUGGAAACAGCAAAGAUGAACAACAUGGACAGACAGACAGCUCAUGCAUCUUAAUCUUGGGUUGUUUUGGCUAUGUGCUUUCCACAACACUACCUGGACUGGAUUGGGAGUUGGAUUCACUGUAUGUAUUUCCCAUAGAGAGAAAACCUUUGUGGCAUUGCUGGCAUU